GAUGAACGCUGGCGGCGUGCUUAACACAUGCAAGUCGAACGGAAAGGCCGAAGCUUGCUUCGGUACUCGAGUGGCGAACGGGUGAGCAACACGAGGGUGAUCUGCCCUGUACUUCGGGAUAAGCUUGGGAAACUGGGUCUAAUACCGGAUAUGACGAUCUCUUGGAUGGGGUUGUGGAAAGCUUUUGCGGUAGUGGAUGAGCUCGCGGCCUAUCAGCUUGUUGGUGGGGGAAUGGCCUACCAAGGCGUCGACGGGUAGCCGCCCUGAGAGGGUGUACGGCCACAUUAGGCCUCAGAUACGGCCCAGACUCCUACGGGUGGCAGCAGUGAGGAAUAUUGCACAAUGGGCGCAAGCCUGUUGCAGCGACACCGCGUGGGGGAUGACGGCCUUCGGGUUGUAAACUCCUUUCGCAAUCGACGAAGCCUUUUGGUGACGGUAGGUUGAGAAGAAGCACCGGCUAACUACGUG
rnacentral:rRNA from 1 species